UACGUAGGGGGCAAGCGUUGUCCGGAUUUAUUGGGCGUAAAGAGCGUGUAGGCGGCCAUACAGGUCAGCUGUGAAAACUCGAGGCUCAACCUCGAGACGUCGGUUGAAACCGUAUGGCUAGAGUCCGGAAGAGGAGAGUGGAAUUCCCGGUGUAGCGGUGAAAUGCGCAGAUAUCAGGAGGAACACCAGUGGCGAAGGCGGCUCACUGGCCCGUAACUGACGCUGAGGCACGAAAGCGUGGGGAGCAAACAGG
rnacentral:rRNA from 1 species